ACGUAGGUGGCAAGCGUUGUCCGGAAUUAUUGGGCGUAAAGGGUGCGUAGGUGGCUCUUUAAGUGGGAUGUGAAAGCCCUUGGCUUAACCAAGGAUGUGCAUUCCAAACUGGGGAGCUAGAGUGCAGGAGAGGAAAGUGGAAUUCCUAGUGUAGCGGUGAAAUGCGUAGAGAUUAGGAGGAACACCAGUGGCGAAGGCGACUUUCUGGACUGUAACUGACACUGAGGCACGAAAGCGUGGGGAGCAAACAGGAUUAGAUACCCUGGUAGUCCACGCCGUAAACGAUGAGCACUAGGUGUAGGGGAGACCAUCCUCUGUGCCGCAGUUAACACAUUAAGUGCUCCGCCUGGGAAGUACGAUCGCAAGAUUA
rnacentral:rRNA from 1 species